UAAUACAUUUUUGUUGUGUGGUAACGGUGU
rnacentral:piRNA from 1 species